rnacentral:rRNA from 1 species
UUCCCAUGUCCUUCGGGAAAGUAAGACCCCUCAGAGAUGAUGAGGUAGAUAGGAUGGAAGUGGAAGUGCCGUGAGGCAUGGAGCGGACCAUUACUAAUCGGUCGAGGACUUAACCAAG